UACGGAGGGUGCAAACGUUGCUCGGAAUCAUUGGGCGUAAAGCGCACGUAGGCGGUCCGGCAAGUCGGGUGUGAAAGCCCUCGGCUUAACCGAGGAAGUGCAUUCGAAACUACCGGACUUGAAUACUGGAGAGGGUCGCGGAAUUCCCGGUGUAGAGGUGAAAUUCGUAGAUAUCAGGAGGAACACCGGUGGCGAAGGCGGGUCUCUGGGCCGAUACUGACGCUGAGGAGCGAAAGCGUGGGGAGCGAACAGG
rnacentral:rRNA from 1 species